GACGAACGCUGGCGGCGUGCCUAAUACAUGCAAGUAGAACGCUGAAGAGAGGAGCUUGCUCUUCUUGGAUGAGUUGCGAACGGGUGAGUAACGCGUAGGUAACCUGCCUUGUAGCGGGGGAUAACUAUUGGAAACGAUAGCUAAUACCGCAUAACAAUGGAUGACACAUGUCAUUUAUUUGAAAGGGGCAAUUGCUCCACUACAAGAUGGACCUGCGUUGUAUUAGCUAGUAGGUGAGGUAAUGGCUCACCUAGGCGACGAUACAUAGCCGACCUGAGAGGGUGAUCGGCCACACUGGGACUGAGACACGGCCCAGACUCCUACGGGAGGCAGCAGUAGGGAAUCUUCGGCAAUGGGGGCAACCCUGACCGAGCAACGCCGCGUGAGUGAAGAAGAUUUUCGGAUCGUAAAGCUCUGUUGUAAGUCAAGAACGGGUGUGAGAGUGGAAAGUUCACACUGUGACGGUAGCUUACCAGAAAAGGACGGCUAACUACGU
rnacentral:rRNA from 1 species